rnacentral:rRNA from 1 species
CCAAGGAGUCUAACAUGUGCGCGAGUCGCCGGGACUUGUACAGGCCCGGAGGCGAAGUGAAAGCAGAACACGAGCCGUGAUCCCCCCACUAAGAUGGGGGGCGCAGCGGCGGCCCGUCCCGCUCGCCUCGGCGUGCGGGCGGAGUCUGAGCGCACACGUUGGUACCCGAAAGAUGGUGAACUAUGCACGGCCAGGUCGAAGCCAGAGGAAACUCUGCUGGAGGACCGAAGCGGUUCUGACGUGCAAAUCGAUCGUCAGAGUCGUGUAUAGGGGUGAAAGGCCAAUCGAACCAUCUAGUAGCUGGUUCCUCCCGAAGUUUCCCUCAGGAUAGCUGGCACUCAGGAAACUCAGUCUCAUGCCGUAAAGCGAAUGAUUAGAGGCAUUGGGACCGAAACGAUCUCAACCUAUUCUCAAACUUUGAAUGCGUGAGAAGUCCGGCCUUUCAGCCUAGAUCCUCUGAGAAGGUCGGACAACAAGAUGAGAGUGCCCAGUGGGCCAUUUUUGGUAAGCAGAACUGGCGCUGUGGGAUGAACCAAACGCUGGGUUACGGUGUCCGAUGCUCAGACGCUCAUCAGACCCCAUAAAAGGUGUUGGUUGCUAUAGACAGCAGGACGGUGGCCAUGGAGGUUGGAAUCCGCUAAGGAGUGUGUAACAACUCACCUGCCGAAGCAACUAGCCCUGAAAAUGGAUGUCGCUCAAGCGUCGAACCCAUACCCGGCCGAUGACCCAGAACCGGUCUGAUCCUCCGGAUAAUUAGGGGUCAUCGAGUAGGGAGGCGCUGCGAGGAGCGCGGAAGCGUCGCUCGUAAGAGGGCGUGGAGCCCCCGCAGGUGCAGAUCUUGGUGGUAGUAGCAAAUAGUCGAGAAGGAACCUUGACGACUGGAGCCGGAGAAGGUUUCCAUGUGAACAGCAGUUGAACAUGGGUCAGUCGGUCCUAAGGGAUCGGCCAAAGGCCGUUCAGAAGGGGGACCUUAUCCAAGGUGAGUCCCCCUCGCCCGAAAGGUAGUGGGGUUAAUAUUCCCCAACCCGCACACGGAGAUCGGGACUUCGGUCCCAAGAGCGGUAACGCAACCGAACUCGGAGACGCCGGCGGAGGACCCGGGGAAGAGUUAUCUUUUCUUUGUAAGGGUUCAUGUCCCUGGAACCGGCUCGUCCGGAGAUAGGGAUGUCGUUCCCGUAAAAGCACCGCGGCUCUCGCGGUGUCCGGUCAGCUUCUGUCGGCCCUUGAAAAUCCGAGGGAGUGAGUGUGAUUUUCGUGGCGGGCCGUACCUAUAUCCGCAGCAGGUCUCCAA